AAGCCUCUAAGCUUCAGAUCACAUUGGACCGUACCGUAAACCGCCACUGGUGGGUGAGCAGAUAAUCUGCCAAGGCGCUUGAGAGAACUCGGGUUAAGGAACUCUGCAAAUUGAUACCGUAACUUCGGAAGAAGGUAUGCCUUCGACGGUGUAGGGAUUUACUCCCGAAGCUGUUGAAGGUCGCAGGUAAUCGGUGGCUGCGACUGUUUAUCAAAAACACAGGACUCUGCGAACACGCAAGUGGAAGUAUAGGGUCUGACGCCUGCCCGGUGCCGGAAGGUUAAUUGAUGGGGUUAGCCGCAAGGCGAAGCUCUUGAUCGAAGCCCCGGUAAACGGCGGCCGUAACAAUAACGGUCCUAAGGUAGCGAAAUUCCUUGUCGGGUAAGUUCCGACCUGCACGAAUGGCGUAACGCUGGCCACACUGUCUCGACCCGAGACUCAGUGAAGUUGAAAUCGCUGUGAAGAUGCGGCGUUCCCGCGGCAAGACGGAAAGACCCCGUGAACCUUCACUACAGCUUUACACUGAACUUUGAACCUUUCUGUGUAGGAUAGGUGGGAGGCUAUGAAACUUGGGCGCUAGCUCGAGUGGAGCCAACCUUGAAAUACCACCCUGGGAUGUUUGAAGUUCUAACCUUGGUCCGUAAUCCGGAUUGGGGACAGUGUAUGGUGGGUAGUUUGACUGGGGCGGUCUCCUCCCAAAGAGUAACGGAGGAGUGCAAUGGUACGCUCAGCGCGGUCGGUCAUCGCGCUCUAGAGUGCAAAGGCAUAAGCGUGCUUAACUGUGAGACAGACACGUCGAACAGGUACGAAAGUAGGUCUUAGUGAUCCGGUGGUUCUGUAUGGAAGGGCCAUCGCUCAACGGAUAAAAGGUACUCCGGGGAUAACAGGCUUAUUCCUCCCAAGAGUCCACAUCGACGGAGGAGUUUGGCACCUCGAUGUCGGCUCAUCACAUCCUGGGGCUGUAGCAGGUCCCAAGGGUAUGGCUGUUCGCCAUUUAAAGUGGUACGCGAGCUGGGUUCAGAACGUCGUGAGACAGUUCGGUCCCUAUCUGCCGUGGGCGUUGGAAACUUGAGGGUGAGCUGUCCUUAGUACGAGAGGACCGGGAUGGACGUAUCUCUGGUGUUCCGGUUGUCACGCCAGUGGCACUGCCGGGUAGCUAUAUACGGACGGGAUAAGCGCUGAAAGCAUCUAAGCGCGAAGCCCCCCCAAGAUUAGGUUUCCCUGGGAACUCGAUUCCCCUAAAGGGCCGUCGGAGACUACGACGUUGAUAGGCUGGGUGUGUAAGUGCAGCAAUGCAUUGAGCUAACCAGUACUAAUUGCCCGUGAGGCUUGAUCAA
rnacentral:rRNA from 1 species